rnacentral:misc_RNA from 1 species
UUCUUUUACUUCACAUAGCUUUUCGUCUCUUUGAACUCUGAAAGCACUACUUCUUUUAGUGCUGCUGGUAUUCGUAAGUCAGCUGGGUACUAUGCAACGUCUUCUUUCUUGCUGCUUUUAUUAUUUUAUCUUCAUCUAUUCCAUUCCAUUAUUCUUCACUUACUAAACUAAAAGUAGUAAUUCAAUUAGCAAUCGAGUUCUGAUCAGCUAAUUACCGUGAAAUCGAAUUCGAAUUGAUGUGGCACCUAAAGGAUUUGCUGCACUUCCUGGGAAAGAAGUCGUCUUGGUAUUGGAUCUGCUUUUCUCUCGUGCUCUUCUGGGCGGUAUAAAGAAAUGAGUAAUGAGCCCACCGACGGACCAUGAAAACGUUAUAAUCUACCCUAGUAUUUUCACCUUGGGUGCCUCCGAUGGAAAUCGGGGAUUAGAAAAAGUCAAGUGAAAGAAGCCCACAUACCCGCUCUUCUUUCCCCCCAGCGAUGGGGCCUCCAUCCUUUUAAUUUUUAGAAGGAUUAGGCCCCAUCGCUGGGGGGAAAGAAGAGCGGGUAUGUGGGCUUCUUUCACUUGACUUUUUCUAAUCCCCGAUUUCCAUCGGAGGCACCCAAGGUGAAAAUACUAGGGUAGAUUAUAACGUUUUCAUGGUCCGUCGGUGGGCUCAUUACUCAUUUCUUUAUACCGCCCAGAAGAGCACGAGAGAAAAGCAGAUCCAAUACCAAGACGACUUCUUUCCCAGGAAGUGCAGCAAAUCCUUUAGGUGCCACAUCAAUUCGAAUUCGAUUUCACGGUAAUUAGCUGAUCAGAACUCGAUUGCUAAUUGAAUUACUACUUUUAGUUUAGUA